ensembl:lncRNA
GCGGUCACUUGAAUAGAUCAACCCUGAUUGAUGAUUGGCUGACUGAUGCCCUCAGGUCUCAUGAAGCUGCAGCCAAAGAAACCCGUCAAUAAUGAGUCAAGACAAAAAUAGAUUGAUUUCACUUAUUGGACAAAGUUUGGAAAAAAACACUGAAGGUAAAACACCAAUGAUCACCGAUGAUGAUGGACAAAAGAACAUGAAAAAUAGCUUUCUUGAAUAAUUAACUUGUUUCUUUUUAUAAAAAAAAACAUACAAUUUCACAUUCACAGAUAAAACGAGCAGAGAAGUACAACGGUCUAAGAUGGUCACUUACAAUAUCUUCCUAAAGGGUAACUUUAAAUGUCUGAAAGAACAUUUAAAAGUGUAAGGAUUGUAACCAAGCGCAUUUUAAAAGGACAACUUUCCUAACAGUGUGUUGAUGAGUUAUUACAAUCCAUUCAUAAACUACAAUCCAGCGACAUCACAAGUGGGCGUGUCCAGUCCACCAAGAUGCAUGAUGGAUCGGCCUAUCAGUGACGUAUCUGUUGUACAUCUUGGUGGACACGCCCACUUGUGAUGUCACUCCCACAUGUGACGCAACACACCACAUCUGGUGGUGAAAUAGGGCCCCUUUUAAAUACCUUCAAGCAACACACCUUUUAGAUGGACUUGGUAUGUUCCAGAGAAUAUGGUAUUACCGGAGACCCUUAACUGGUCAUACUGGUGUUACGCAAUAGUCAAACCUGGGCAGAGGGUUUAGUCGCAUGACCAGAACAAUAAACAUGAACAUAAAUAAAUAGAUGCAUUAAUAAACUCUUUUACAUUGAUAUAUGGGAGAGCCUAAUGGAAUGACUUGCUAGUUUUCUUUCUACUGCAGGUAGGAUUAACAUUCACCAAACAUUAAGGCCCCAAAGACAGCAUCAUAAGAACUAAUGUACACGGAUGUGACCACAGAAUGCUUUCCCAUUGAGCUGUAUUGGUUUCUCCAAAGGUUUAGGAAGGUUUCUCCAUCCAGCUCACCAAAACGGCAGCAAUAAGGUCUAUUUUCAUGCAAAAGUCAGUCAAAACAAAUAAUCACGAUGAAAUGUACCGCGGACUCCCUCAAGACAUUCAUAGACCAACAAAUAUGUUCAACUGUAAAUGACAAUCUUUUUAAGGAAACAAAAAGCACCGUACGUAAAUGAAGUACGUUUGGAUGGCUCGACCAUGACACUGCCUUCCGUCGGCUGAACAGAAACCCACCAGAGACGAAGGGGGCUUCAGUACAUAAAGCCCGUACUUAACGUCGGCAUGGCACGUAUUCCUCCA